AACGCACAUUGCGCCCCUUGGUAUUCCAUGGGGCAUGCCUGUUCGAGCGUCAUUUGUUCCUACAAGCUCUGCUUGGUGUUGGGUGUUUGUCUCGCCUCUGCGCGUAGACUCGCCUCAAAACAAUUGGCAGCCGGCGUAUUGAUUUCGGAGAGUAGUACAUCUCGCUCUUUGCACUCAUAACGACGUCGUCCAAAAGUAUAUUUUUACACUCUUAAACUCGGAUCAGGUAGGGAUACCCGCUGAACUUAA
rnacentral:misc_RNA from 1 species